rnacentral:lncRNA from 1 species
GUGUGUCACCAGAGCUCAACCCAAUUGAACACUUUUGGGAGAUUCUGGAGUGGAGCCUGAGAGCUUUUUCCACCACCAUCAACAAAACACAAUUAUGGAAUUUCUUGUGGAAGAAUGGUGUCGCAUCCCUCUAAUAGAGUUCCAGUCAUUAGGCAAUGGCAUCAACUUUGUUCCAGCCUUGUCUCUGGCCAGCUCUGCUACAGGGUCCAGCAGGAGAGACCUGACCCCCAUACAUUCAGCUGUGUGUCCACGAAGAGUGACUGGUCAAUGGGGCAUUCAAAAGAGUUCAGGAAGGAAUACUCUUCCGAUGGCAAAAGAGACAAGCAGGAAGGACCAGAGUCAGAGAUGUUCAGUGGUCAGUCUGCCCAGAGUCAACAAAUGGACCUGUCCUCCAUAUUUACGAAUGUUUUGAGAGUCACAGAGAGGAUGAGGGAGUACUGGGCACUGAAGAUGAGAAGCAGGAGAACAGUGCCAGAGAAGGGGCUCUGGAGAUCACACUGCAUGUGUUGAGG